rnacentral:lncRNA from 1 species
UAUGCCUUAGUGGGAGUUUCUAAUCUAUCACAAAAAAAUGGUAUAGUCUCAAAAUGGAGUCUUCCUAGUGCAUCUCAACUUGACAGGAUGUCAGUGAGGAGAAAUUAGACUCUAUUCGAUAUAGUCCGAUCCAUGAUAAGCAUCACUGAUCUUUCUUUUUUUUUAUGGUUUUCUUCAAAAAAAUUCAAGAUAGGUGAUGCAGCAGCUUAACAGAAGGGAGUCUACAAUUUUCAAGAUG